CAUUUGGAACAUAUUGCAGCUUAUUGUCUGGGCGCCAACAAGAGAAAAAGCAAUUGAGCGAAUGAAAAGGGCUCUUGAUGACACUAUUAUUACUGGAGUUCCGACGACUAUAGAUUACCACAAACUUAUCCUUGAAAUUGAGGACUUCAAAAAUGGAAAUGUUGAUACCGCUUUCAUUCCGAAGCAUGAAAAGGAGUUAGCAGCGCCACAACAAAUCAUACCAGCCAAACAGUUGACCAAUUCAGCCGCAUAAAUAGAUCACUUCUCAAAUCGCAACCAUCUUCAGCUAAUUUUCAAGCGCAGUUAAGAGGCCAGGUUCUUAUGCGAAUCUGCUGGAAGCUUUCGUUUUCCUUUCCUUUAGAACUUGUAAAUUUCAACGUGCCAGACACGGGAGAAUUAUUCAUGAAAUUUUGAUGUAUGCUGUAUGCAUUCCUUUUAGUUGGGGAUGAAAAUGGGGUAAAGUACAUCUUGCUCAUACAAUACUUGGAUGGUGAUGUUUUUAGUCAAGGCUGAUUCGAAAUUUCUUGAGAUGAAGGGAGAAAUUUAGCUCUA